UCCUGCUACUUUUUAAACAUCCCAUAACAUGGCUUUUGUGAUUCUCCAGUUUUACUCUUUUCUUCAGCAGGCUCACAGAUGCCAUUCCUUCUCUCUGCCUU